rnacentral:rRNA from 1 species
UCCGUAGGCGGGUAAUUAAGUCAGAGGUGAAAUCCCACAGCUUAACUGUGGAACUGCCUUAGAUACUGGUUAUCUUGAGUUUUAGUGAAGUAGAUAGAAUGUGUAGUGUAGCGGUGAAAUGCAUAGAUAUUACACAGAAUACCGAUUGCGAAGGCAGUCUACUAACUAACAACUGACGCUAAUGGACGAAAGCGUGGGGAGCGAACAGGAUUAGAUACCCUGGUAGUCU